ACAAAAAUAUUCAUCGAAUUUCGACAUCACAGAAUUGAAGAGUGUUCUGUAAAUAGGGUACGACAAGCAGUACAAGCAAACGAGCACUGGAAUCAGCUACAGGGACGUUCGAGAAAAGGGUCAUUUGAGCUGUGAUAGCACAAGAGAGAUACAAGAUAAGUAAUUCGAAAAUAUUGCAAAUGUUUGUUGAGAUGUCAAAAUAAAAUAAUAUUGAAAAUGGGAGGAUUAAUAUUUGAAGCUUUGAUAUUUUAAGAUCUCAGGUGAAUGAAUGGCACAAGUCGAAAAAAUAAAAUAGCAUAAAAAGAUUAUUGGUAUUUUUAGACUGAUCUGAUGAAGACAUAUAGUUUGCAUCUCGUUUCCAUUA